UACGAAGGGGGCUAGCGUUGCUCGGAAUUACUGGGCGUAAAGCGCACGUAGGCGGCUACUCAAGUCAGAGGUGAAAGCCCAGGGCUCAACCUUGGAACUGCCUUUGAAACUAGGUAGCUAGAAUUCUGGAGAGGUCAGUGGAAUUCCGAGUGUAGAGGUGAAAUUCGUAGAUAUUCGGAAGAACACCAGUGGCGAAGGCGACUGACUGGACAGAUAUUGACGCUGAGGUGCGAAAGCGUGGGGAGCAAACAGG
rnacentral:rRNA from 1 species